UAAACGACUCUCGGCAACGGAUAUCUCGGCUCUCGCAUCGAUGAAGAACGUAGCGAAAUGCGAUACUUGGUGUGAAUUGCAGAAUCCCGUGAACCAUCGAGUUUUUGAACGCAAGUUGCGCCCGAAGCCUUCGGCUGAGGGCACGUCUGCCUGGGCGUCACGC
rnacentral:rRNA from 1 species